UUUGCUUGUAGCGCUCACUGACUUCUGGCUAGAAGGGAAUACAAGAAAUGCUGAAGAAAUCAUGCCAUUGCGUAGAUUUGCAGAAAGCACCUUAACACCUGCCCCAAGGAAUGUAAACAUGGCCUUCAGGCCCAGAACUUUGGAAGGAUUCUGAGGACUGUCCGUGAUGAAGAGGAAGAUGAUGAAAGAGGGGUCCCAAACUCCCCCAGACUCAAUUCCUGAAGAGAGGAGUGACCGUGUUAAGAUCUACCCAGAUCUCUGCACCCCUGCUCCUGGACUGUGUAGCCCUUCCUUCUCACUCUGCUCCUGCAGCAGUUCCAGGCUUUCCUGCUCUCCGGGUCCUAAUACAGUUACUGACCACUGCAUUUUUUCUGCAUGACUUGACAGUGUUGUCUUUGUUGGCUCUUCCCUGUGUGGAGGUAUCAGGGUCAUUUUUCCAUUUGCCAGAAGAGACAACAAGCCACAAAAGACAGAGUGACUGCCCAAGGUCAUCCCUCAGGCUGACACAG